rnacentral:rRNA from 1 species
UACGGAGGGUGCAAACGUUGCUCGGAAUCAUUGGGCGUAAAGCGCACGUAGGCGGCCCAGCCAGUCGGGUGUGAAAGCCCUCGGCUUAACCGAGGAAGUGCAUCCGAAACUGGCAGGCUGGAGUACUAAAGAGGGUCGCGGAAUUCCCGGUGUAGAGGUGAAAUUCGUAGAUAUCGGGAGGAACACCGGUGGCGAAGGCGGCGACCUGGGUAGAUACUGACGCUGAGGUGCGAAAGCGUGGGGAGCAAACAGG